UGGGGAAUCUUGGACAAUGGGGGCAACCCUGAUCCAGCCAUGCCGCGUGAGUGAUGAAGGCCUUAGGGUCGUAAAGCUCUUUCGCCUGUGAAGAUAAUGACGGUAGCAGGUAAAGAAACCCCGGCUAACUCCGUGCCAGCAGCCGCGGUAAUACGGAGGGGGUUAGCGUUGUUCGGAAUUACUGGGCGUAAAGCGCACGUAGGCGGACCAGAAAGUUGGGGGGUGAAAUCCCGGGGGCUCAACCCCGGAACUGCCUCCAAAACUAUUGGUCUAGAGUUCGAGAGAGGUGAGUGGAAUUCCAAGUGUAGAGGUGAAAUUCGUAGAUAUUUGGAGGAACACCAGUGGCGAAGGCGGCUCACUGGCUCGAUACUGACGCUGAGGUGCGAAAGUGUGGGGAGCAAACAGGAUUAGAUACCCUGGUAGUCCACACCGUAAAACGAUGAAUGCCAGUCGUCGGGUAGCAUGCUAUUCGGGUGACACACCUAACGGAUUAAGCAUUCCGGCCUGGGGAGUACGGUCGCAAGAUUAAAACCUCAAA
rnacentral:rRNA from 1 species